rnacentral:rRNA from 1 species
AGCGAACGCUGGCGGCAGGCCUAACACAUGCAAGUCGAGCGGCCGUAGCAAUACGGCAGCGGCAGACGGGAGAGUAACACGUGGGAACGCGCCCUUCGGUUCGGUAUAACUCAGGGAAACUUGAGCUAAUACCGGAUACGCCCUUACGGGGAAAGAUUUAUUGCCGAAGGAACGGCCCGCGUCCGAUUAGCUUGUUGGUGAGGUAACGGCUCACCAAGGCGACGAUCGGUAGCUGGUCUGAGAGGAUGACCAGCCUCACUGGGACUGAGACACGGCCCAGACUCCUACGGGAGGCAGCAGUGGGGAAUAUUGGACAAUGGGCGCAAGCCUGAUCCAGCCAUGCCGCGUGGGUGAUGAAGGCCUUAGGGUUGUAAAGCCCUUUCAGCGGGGAAGAUAAUGACGGUACCCGCAGAAGAAGCCCCGGCUAACUUCGUGCCAGCCGCCGCCGUAAAAC